AAUGACUGUGAUUAAGAGAUAGUUAUGAUCCAAGUGAACAAAUUUGGACCAAUCAAAAUACUAUACAUCAUAACCUCAUAACUAUAAAUCACAAUGAUUUUUAGCCCAAUAAAUCUCAACAAACACUCUCAUCUAAAAAACCCUAAAUCAUCUUAAGUAAUUCGCUACCUCCAUCCCAGGCCGCCGCCAUUGUCUGCUACCAACACCACCUCUUUCCCGGCAAUGCACCACCACUACCAAGAAUCACCAUCUAGCUACAUCACCUUGAAACUCUCGAUAACCUCUUAUUCUCUAAAACCCUUAGAUAUAAACUGUUGAAUAACCUUCAUCACCACUAUCCCAUGCAUCUCUUGUCUUCCUCUAGAUGUUUCUCUCUAGGAAAACCAUAGAUUUGAAACGACUUUGACUUGCGCCCAAGAUGGUACAUGUGCAUUACCAAUUUUUUAUCUUCACAAUCGUGUUUGUGCAAGCGAAAAUUGCAUGAGGAACAUUGACUUGCUUUUCUGGAUCUUGAUGUGGAUCUAUGAGGGAGAACCCCGAUCUCCGGCGACUCCUUUGUGUGUUCCUACACAUCACUGGUAGCAAGGAGGAAUGAUGGCAAAAACAACAAGGUUGAAGGGGAAGACAUGAGGAAGUAGAGAUUGUAGUUGGCGGUGAGGAGCUGCUAUGGUAACCCCUCGUCGAUUCUUUCUUCUUUUUCUAGCAACAUAUCUCAAAGAUGGAGGCAAAGAGAGACAGAUCGGAGAAACACAACAGGUAAAGGGUGUUUGGUUGUUGUUGUUCGACCGGAAGGAAGAGAGACGAGAAAGAGAAGGGUCGUCGCCUUUUUCUUGUUGCUGGAGGAUCACCCACCUCCAGUGACUAAGCUAAUUAAUUGCUAUUUAGUGCCACUUGUGCUUCCACAUCAACAAAACUCGUAGAAUCCGGUGAAAAUGACCUAAUGUGCACAAAUAAAGUAUAAGAGUUUAUUUUACAAAAAAAAAAA